rnacentral:rRNA from 1 species
UACAGAGGGUGCAAGCGUUAAUCGGAGUUACUGGGCGUAAAGGGCGCGUAGGCGGUCUUGUAAGUUGGAUGUGAAAUCCCUGGGCUCAACCUAGGAACUGCAUUCAAUACUGUAAGACUAGAAUAUUGUAGAGGGUAGUGGAAUUUCCGGUGUAGCGGUGAAAUGCGUAGAGAUCGGAAGGAACACCAGUGGCGAAGGCGGCUACCUGGACAAAUAUUGACGCUGAGGCGCGAAAGCGUGGGGAGCAAACAGG